GACAGGUUGCAUUGUUUUUAGUUUGACCUUUCCUUUAAUUAUGCUCUUUUUACUGAAUUACGCAAGCCGCAAUGAGUCUUGGUUUACUAAUUCUUCGUCUCUUUACCCCAAAAAAACGUCGAAUAGUUUCAAACCUCAUUGUGACCUGUAUGUUUUACACAAGAUGGAUUACACAAGUCAGUAUCUACCGUUCCUUUCUACUUGUGGCUACUUUACAUAACACCUUUAAUGCGCAUGACUAAAUGUAGUUUUGUUUGUCUCGAUAUCUCUUGUUUCACUAUACAGGUUUUAAUAAAACAUCUCGAGAAACCGCAAUAUUUAAUUGAGACACUUAAACGAUCACAAGUUUUGACACAUAGAAAAAUGUUAAACUAGCCAAGAGACUGUCAGUAUAAGCUAUCGUCGAAAUGGAAAGCCUAAAUUCACUCGAGACAGAGUAGUUGAUACUAGAAACACGCUAUACAUAUGCAAGUUAUCCUACUUAAAAAGCCUUUCAAGAGGAAGCUCUCCCAACACUAAACUUAAUCAAGAAAAGCGUCCCUGAAAAGCCUACUAGUGCUAGAUACUGUGCUGCUAUUGAAAACGAACAGGGUUACUAAUACCAAGACUAUAAGGAGGUUAUAAAGAAAUUAAAAUCUCCUAAAGCUGCCAGUUAGAGUUGGAGUAUAAGAGUCAAGAAUUAAUUCUUAAAAAAUUUCAUAUAUAUGUAUAUUAACCUCCUACAGUUUAAAAGUCGUGUUAAAUACGUGUAUUUGAUUGGAUUUUAACUGAUACAUAAGAUAUUUAUAUAUAAAUAAACAUUCGAUCAGUUUGACAUGUGACCUCGAUAGUGUGUGAUAAACGAUGUCAAAAAGUAUACCUUGUGCCAAAGUUUAAAAAAUUUUGAGGUCAAGGCAUGUGCUUGUAAAAAAGUAUAUUCCUUACAAGACAGUUGUUAAACUUCAAGAUGAGGAUGAUAUGGAUAUAAGUGAAAAGGAAAGUUAGAUAACAAUAAUGGUGAGACUCAAAUUACGUACACAAGUAGUGAUGAUUGUGUUGUUUCGUUGAAGGAUGGAAAUGGGUGUGCUUGUAAGGAAUGUUUGGAUUGCAUGCAAGGUCUCCUGUUGAACUAAUCAGAUUUGAUGAUAAAGAAGAAGGCUCAGUGUGUUGGUAUUUUCAUCUUAAAAAUUGAUGAACUAUAUCACUGAAAGCAAAAACAAAAUAAUUUAAAGAAUUUGGUGUUAUCCUUUGAUGAGAUGAAAAUGCAAUCGCUGACGCAAAAACUCGCCAAAAAUUCUAAAAAAUGAGGAACUAGGUGAGCCAUUAAUUGCUCCCCCAAUUUCACCAAAUUUUUGUCUGACUGAACAAUAUCAAUUCAUCUCACAUGAAAAUCAAUGAUAUCCUUCUUUUAUUUGUAGUAAAGAAUAACUAAAAUAUAUUAUAUCUAUAUUAUAA